rnacentral:misc_RNA from 1 species
CGGCAUGCUGCCUUCUCUCUGUGACACACCUUUGUGAUGUGAAGCCCCCUGGAACCAGCCACCUGGGGCCCAGAGCUGCUUGCUGGGGUUCCACAAGAGGAUUCAGAACAAGGCCUUCAUGGCACAGAUCUUGCCAAGGUUGCAGGUUAGGAGGCGGCACAUAGUGUGAGAAAUUCCCGGUAGGAGGUACAGCAGAUGAUUCUUGUACUACAGGGCAGGGAGGAGAAAGAUGACAGGACCAUCUGUGAAGAAUGCCAAGUGUUGCUGUGUACCUACAGCUGCUUUGAGUGAUAAUACUCUCAAAGAGACUUGUAACACAUCGCUAUAUACAUAGUAAUAAAUUUAGAUGGUAUUA